rnacentral:lncRNA from 1 species
GAGCAUCAGAGACACUCAUAUGUAAAAAGUCAAGAAUGUAUAAAAAGUGAACAACCUUAAGUUGUUGUCCAGAUUAAAAGAAUUAUUGCAACUAAAGUCUUGUUUCUAUAACUACUAUUAUAUUGUGAUGAUCCCUAAAUUCAUAAAUCAUACCCAAGCCCAGUUCUAUUUGCUUGACAUAUUCACUUAGAUGAACAGCUAAUAUGCAAGUAGAACUCUAAGUUGCUGCUGCUAUCUCUAGCACUCCCACCUUGCUUUUCCUCAUCACAGAUAAAACCAUCUAGUUGUACAAGCUAAAGUUAUAGGAGUUAUCCUUGAUUCCCUUCUUUACUAUCCUCUCCAUAUUCAUGUUAUCAGCACAUUGUAUAUUUAACUUCCAAAACAUUCCACAAAUCAUCUACCUCUUUUGAUCUCCACUAGCUUCCAGCUUAAUCCAAGUCACAGUCUCUUGCCUGAAUGACUGAUAUCUCAUAACCAACUUUGUUUCAUUCUAUGUAAAAUCUGUUUUGUGUACAACAGCUGUAUGUUUAAAGUCCUCAGAUGGCUCCGUAUGGCAAUGAAAAUGUGUUCCAAAAGCUUUACUAUGUUCUUAUUCAUUCUGGCUUGCAUGUACCUCCCUAUCUCACCUACUGUUCCAUCUCUCUUCACUAGUUCCCAGCUAUGUUCACCUAUUUGCAAUUCCUCAAACUUGCUUAGCUCCUAUCUGCCUUGGGUCUGGCAUUUUCCUUGCUGUUCCCUUUUCCUAUAUGUUCUUCUCCAGAGCUUUAAGUGAUCAUCUUCCUUUAGCCAUUCCUAUCUACUCAGAGAAACCUUUUCUGACCAUUCAAUAAAAAAUAGUCCCUAGUUAAUACCUGUAAUCGUUACGACACUUAACACUAGGCCGACUUUGUCAUUUUAAUCUUGCAGCAUCAAGCCUAGAAAAAUACCUAGUGCAUGCAUAGUAAAUAUUUCUUGAAUGAAUGAAUGAAUGAAGUAGAUAAAAUAAAUGAUGGCUUCUAGUGGAUAUAUUAAGGAUAAUAUUUCAUGAUAGUAUACACAUGAACUCCAUUUUGUUAAAAAUAAGAUGUUUUCUUUUUGUAUCUGAUGCUUUCCUAAAAAUUAUAAAUUCAACCAAUGCAGGGACCAUACCAAUUCAUUUUUAUAUCUCCCAACUUUUUACCAUAGUAUGUGGCAUACAAGAGGUGCUUAAUAUUUUCACUAAAUUGUUGAUGUCUAAAAUUUUGUUACAGUUUGUGAGGGAGUUGCUGCCCUUGGGAUAAAGAAGAAAGUAUAUUUUAAAGAUUUUAAGGAAUUUUAAAGUUUACAAAUAAUUGAGGAAAUACUUUCUUAAUCACUUCAACUAAAUGUAGCUAGCUACUAUUGUCUGUUAAGCAAUAAGCAUAUGACACUAAGUUAAAAGAAAUAAUUCAAACUUUUAGGCUGGAAAGGAUUUUAUUUUGGAAAUAGACAUGAUUAUUUAGAAUAACAUUUUUCAAACUUUUUUUUUUUGCCUACAGUGCAUACUAAAGAGUGCAUUUUAGGUUGUCACAUGCUGUAUGUACAUAUAUUUGAAAUUGAAAAUUUAGACUAUUAUCAUUUCUAUAUAUUUUCUAUUCAAAUUUAGUCAAUUCUUUUUCUAAAAAUACUGGUGUGAUACACCAAUGAGGUUAUGACCCAUAGUUUAAAUACACAAAUGAACAUUUUAUGUAUUUCCUAAUCUCAAAACCUGAAAUGAAUGAUUUGCCCAAGUUCUUUCCACUAGUAGGUAAGAUGGGUUAUUCAUGUGGAGAUGAUUCGUUAGAUCAUAGAUGAAAUUUGAAAUAUUUAUGAGAAAAAUAUACUGAAGGGAAAUUUUGUCACCAAUACUAUUCUUCCAAGUGGGAAAAGUGAUUAUUUAUAGAUUGCAACAUUUUAUGUCUAAUAAAACUUGCCUUCCUCAGGAACAUUCAGGAAAAAUUGUUAUGUCAGUGACAAAAAAUACUUUAUUAUAACU